ensembl:snoRNA
ACUCUCCAAGCUCUGCAUGGUAAAACUUGGCUUAACUCGUGACUUUUGUAAUGUAGAGAGAGAGGAAAGAGCUCAGGAUCUUGGAUGGCUUCACAGUGGCCUCUCUUUCCUUGAGGAGUCCAACAGAG